AUUGAACGCUGGCGGCAGGCCUAACACAUGCAAGUCGAGCGAGCGGCGGACGGGGGAGUAAUGUAUGGGGACUGCCCGAUAGAGGGGGAUAACUACGGGAAACGGUAGCUAAGACCGCAUAAUAUCGGAUAACCCAGAUGGGAUUAGCUAGUGGGUGGGGUAAAGGCUACGCUAGGCGACGAUCUCUAGCUGGUCUGAGAGGAUGAUCAGCCACACUGGGACUGAGACACGGCCCAGACUCCUACGGAGGCAGCAGUGGGGAAUAUUGCACAAUGGGCGCAAGCCUGAUGCAGCCAUGCCGCGUGUAUGAAGAAGGCCUUAGGGUUGUAAAGUACUUUCAGCGGGGAGGCGUUACCCGCAGAAGAAGCACCGGCUAACUCCGUGCCAGCAGCCGCGGUAAUAC
rnacentral:rRNA from 1 species